GACGAACGCUGGCGGCGUGCUUAACACAUGCAAGUCGAACGGUAAGGCCCCUCGGGGUACACGAGUGGCGAACGGGCGAGUAACACGUGGGUGAUCUGCCCUGCACUUCGGGAUAAGCCUGGGUAACUGGGUCUAAUACCGGAUAGGACCUCGCACUUCACGGCGUGUGGUGGACAGCUUUCGCGGUGUGGGAUGGGCCCGCGGGCUAUCAGCUUGUGGGUGGGGUAAAGGCCUACCAAGGCGGCGACGGGUAGCCGGCCUGAGAGGGUGACCGGGCACACUGGGACUGAGAUACGGCCCAGACUCCUACGGGAGGCAGCAGUGGGGAAUAUUGCACAAUGGGCGCAAGCCUGAUGCAGCGACGCCGCGUGAGGGAUGACGGCCUUCGGGUUGUAAACCUCUUUCAGUAGGGACGAAGCGCAAGUGACGGUACCUACAGAAGAAGGACCGGCCAACUACGUGCCAGCCGCCGCCGUAA
rnacentral:rRNA from 1 species